ACUCAUAGAAUUGAAAUUCGUUUUUAUCACAUCCUCGCUGCUUUCUUCGGCAUCGUCUACUUCGUAGCUCUGGUUCAAUUAAUUCGGAUACAAUUGAGAGUACCAGAAUAUAGAUGGACCACGCAGAAGGUUUUCCACUUUCUCAAUUUCGUUGUCAAUGGAGGUUUUGUAAGAAAGUGCAGAUAGUAUUGAAGAGCCUCCCAACCUUCAAAAUCUGACACAAAGGAAGAAAUUCUACAGGUUCAUGUCUUUUUUGUUUUGGUCUGUCUCUGAUUGUAAAAUGUAGGAAGAAAUUUUAUGUUCUCAGUUGGGUUGUAGCUGUUGUUUUGUUUUAUAGUAGAAUUGUAGUGAAACUCCAGCAAUUAUUCUUUUUAAGCUAUUCUAGCAGAUGUUAAGCUUAUUCUUUGACAUACAUGAUGUUAAGUCUUUUGGAAAGCAAAAAAUCAAAAUUUGAUGAUUUCUGAUGCAUUCAUUCAUCUUAUGCAUUUAAUUGUAGGAAAAAGAAACUGGAUAUCUAAUUAUUUCAAGAAACAACAAAGGAUCCUUGAAGGUUGUUUGGUCUUUUCCUCCAUUCGAAUCAAGGUUAAAGUGACCACAUGGCACUUUUUAAAGCCUUUGAAGGAUAGAAGGAUGCAAACCAUAAUGAAAGGAGUCCUGUCACUUUGCAAAUGAC